rnacentral:tRNA from 1 species
UGGGGUGUCGUCUAACUGGCAGGACACGGGACUUUGGAUCCCGGCGUGGAGGUUCGAGUCCUCCCACCCCAACCA